GAUGUUGCCUGAAAAGUUUUGCAUGGAAUAAUGGAAUAGGACUUCGGUUCUAUUUCGUUGGUUUUCGGAUCCGAAGUAAUGAUCAAAAGAGACAGGCGGGGACGUUUGUAUGGCCGCGCUAGAGGUGAAAUUCAUAGACCGUGGCCAGACAAACUAAAGCGAAAGCAUUCGUCAAGCAUGUUUUCAUUGGCCAUGAGCGAAAGUCAGAGGCUCGAAGACGAUCAGAUACCGUCCUAGUUCUGACCAUAAACGAUGCCAACUGGCGAUCCGUGGUGGUAGUCACUUAACCUUCCCCACGGGCAGUCCCCGGGAAACCUUUAAGUCUUUGGGUUCCGGGGGAAGUAUGGUUGCAAAGCUGAAACUUAAAGGAAUUGACGGAAGGGCACCACCAGGAGUGGAGCCUGCGGCUUAAUUUGACUCAACACGGGAAAACUCACCCGGGCCGGACACUAUGAGGAUUGACAGAUUGAUAGC
rnacentral:rRNA from 1 species